UAGCAUGUACCUAAGGUCUGGGGCUAAUAGUGGCCAUGGGAUCUCCAACUGCAUGCUAGAGCAAACUAGAGUCUUUGACAACUCAGGUCACCAGUAUUUGUAACUGUCACUCACCUUUCCUAGAAAA